rnacentral:rRNA from 1 species
CGGACGGGUGAGUAAUGUCUGGGAAACUGCCUGAUGGAGGGGGGUAACUACUGGAAACGGUAGCUAAUACCGCAUAACGUCGCAAGACCAAAGAGGGGGACCUUAGGGCCUCUUGCCAUCGGAUGUGCCCAGAUGGGAUUAGCUAGUAGGUGGGGUAACGGCUCACCUGGGCGACGAUCCCUAGCUGGUCUGAGAGGAUGACCAGCCACACUGGAACUGAGACACGGUCCAG